GGUCACUGUGCUGUAUGCUUAUACUGCUGGAUUGGUGAGCUGUGUUACUGACCAUAGGUUUUGAAAACAUGAAAAUGUCAUUCUAUAUUGACAAGGAAUCAGUUCUCGUGCUGCUACAGUAAAAAUUGACAUGCUGUAUGGGAUAGUGUUUGUUUAUAUGUCGCAGCAGUGCAUAAUGCAUCAUAUCAUGAACAAGAUGAAUGGUUAUCAAAGUAUUUCUGACAUGGUUUUCAGUGCAUCAUUUUUUAUAAAAUCACUGUAUGUGAGCAGAGAUAGAUCACACAGAACAGUGAAAUCAUUCACUGUGACAUAAACCUCUUCAUGGACAUCUUUUUUUUUAAGACUUAGCUUAGCAUUACUGUUUAGAAGUUUGGGGUUAGUAAGAUGUUGAAGUCUCUUAUACUCACCAAGGCUCUAUUUAUUUGAUCAAAAAUGCUGUAUAAACUGUCAUUUUAUUAAAUAUUAAUGUACAUUAAAAUAACUAUUUGAAUAUAUUUUAAAAUGUAAUUUAUUCCUGUGAUGGCAAUCAUUACACCUGUCCUAAGUGUCAAAUGAUCCUUCAAAAAUCAUUCUAAUAUGCUUAUUUGCUGCAAUAGAUAGAUAGAUAGAUAGAUAGAUAGAUAGAUAGAUAGUCAAUUCUCAUUGAAAACAAAUGACUUCCAGUUGGUUUAGUCCUCUCUCUCUCUCUCUCUCUCUCUCUCUCUUUUCUGAUGGUAGGCACAUUUGGUGUGCUGUUGCUGUCAUGGCCAGCUAUGAAAUAGUCCCUUUUUCUUGUGUUCUCAGUGUGUAUUCUUCACAAAAUUCCAGAACUGGAGAAUAAAUGUGUUUAGAGGAUCCGUACAGCCAGUGAACACUGAUAUAAUUGCUGCCAUUUUAUCAUUCUGUUCUCAAGCCAUUUGUCUUGCUGUCUCCAUCCUCUGUUCUCAGGUUUUUUUUUUUUUUUUCCACACUGCUCUGGCUUACUAAUUAAGCACCAGCACCAUGGGACUCACUUUUUUCUGCUUCUCUCCCAAAUACAGGUCACAGGCUUUCACAACAGGAAGAGGAAAAAGAGAACUGAAAAUAGUCUUUUUGCAACUUUGGGUAAAUCAGUGUAUAAAUCAACAUAAAUACAACAAAGAUUCUGCCUCCCCUCAUAUCAUCAUAGUGUCAGAAGAUUCACAGGAGCAGGUGGCUAAGAGGGGACUGUUUCUGUGUAUGAUGGGGCACACCUGAACUUAUUAGAGCCUCAUCACUACUGCCAUAAAGGCUCCCACACGUCUCUCUAUAAGGACACGGGUCUCCCACGUGUAUCACCAAGGUAUCCUCAAGGUCCAGGAAGGGUAUGAUAGCAGGACCCCUACAGAGACAAUGACCGCCUGGUCCUGUUCCUCUGGACCUAACCGCCCCUGCACAGCCUGACCUUCACUUCCCCAUGGACACUGUAAACCCUUGUUAUUUCAUUUAAAAUAAAAGCCUCCUGUUAGUUUCUCA
ensembl:lncRNA